CUCCAUUAAGAAGAAGACAUGUGGAGACUCAUGUCUUCCUUGCCUACAUUUCUAUUUGCACCCCUCUUUUACUAUUUUACACAUUACUUUGUUUUCUAUUUACAUCUUUCUCUACUUUGGCCCAAAAUACAAGGCCCAAAACUUCCUAACUACUCUAUACAAUUUUUACAAGGCUAAGAAGAAGAAAAAGACUUUACAAACUCUUCAUUAAAGCUCGAUCUUCGUCUAUCUUCUUGGCCGAAAGUUUUGAGGCUAGACGGUUUCCAUCAUCCCCUCCCUCUUGAAAAGGAUCUGUCCUCAGAUCUGAAUGAUGCUCAAUGACAGCAACCUCUGUUUAUUUGAUGGUUUCCUCCUGGGUCAAAUGUCAAUCUGCAAUAAACAUCAAACAAACAUGAGAUAAAUUUCCUUUUUAGAAGAAAAUUAAAAGAAAAGAAANNNNNNNNNNNNNNNNNNNNNNNNNNNNNNNNNNNNNNNNNNNNNNNNNNNNNNNNNNNNNNNNNNNNNNNNNNNNNNNNNNNNNNNNNNNNNNNNNNNNAUUUCAAAAAUAUUUUUGUUCACUUUGUGUUGUUUAUUGCCCAAGCUAGGCAACAACAUCACAAAGUGUUGUUUUUGAUAUUUUUGUGAAGAAUGAGCAUUAUAUAAUUGAAAAGAAGAGUUCAAAGUAUUGCAAUCCCCCUUUAAGGAUUCUUUCUCAACCAUGCUUUCAGGGGGUGUCAUAAAAGACUCUUCUUCUUUGUGGGUUUCCUCUUCUUCUUCCUUUCAAUCAAAACAUUCUUCUGUAUUUUCUGUGGAGGAAAUAUUUAUAUCUAUAUUUGGCUCAGCUCCAAACAUAGAUUUUUCUUCAAGCACAUCCUCACAAGGGUUUUCUAGAGAAGAUAAAAUGUUAUCGAUAUCUGAUUCAACUCGAAAAAAAGAGUUUUUUGUACUUUCCUUUUUCUCAUUCUCUUCUUUCUUUCUGACAAGAGCUUGGAAUUUUUCUCUAAACUCCUUUUCUCUUCUAACAUAUUCUUUUUCUCUGUAUAUAAAAUUUCUUCCUUUUUCUACAAGCUCUUUCAUUUCUUCUCUAAGCUUUUUCUUUUUCACAUAUGAAGGUGGAACAAACUUUCUUCUCAUACACAUCUUCAAUUCAUCCCAAUUCAAUAUUUCUGAUUUUCUACCAAUUCUAACAUCUGCUUCCCUUUGUAUCCACCAAGACCUAGCAUAUUCUUGAAAACUUAGAGUAGCCAUGGAAAAUUUUCUAUAUUCAUCCAAUUGAUGUUUUUCAAAGAUUUGAUCAACUUUUGUUUCCCAUUCUAAAUAUGCUUCAACAUUUUUAUUUCCAUCAAAGUAAGGAAUGUAUACUUCAGGCUCGAUAGAAUAAUAUAAACUUCUAGGCUCAAAACGCAUCCCUUCCUUUUUUUGAUAAUGAGGGUUAUAAAUCUUUCUUCUACUAUGAUGAUAAGUAUACAUAGACAUAUUUAAGCUUUGUAUUUAAAAGAUUUUUCACAAGAAGGAAAGUGAGUUUAGCACACAAGGUAAAUUCCCAGGAAAGAGAGGUGGGUCACAAUGGACACUCUUAAGUACCAAGUCUUUCCUAGCCAUAACUUAUCCCAAUGCACUUCACAAAUCUCCUUCCAAUGAAAACUUCUUCAACACAAACAAAGAGUUUUCUAAAGAAAGAAACUAAAAGAAAGCUUUUAAAAUCUAAGAAUUUAAAUUGCAAAAAUUUAAACUAGACGACUCCUAAUGGUGAGGCUUGUAGGCACUUGGGAACCUUCAAGACACACUCACCGUCUAAAGCGUGUAUCUAAUAAGAAAAUUAAAGAAAACUUGUAGGAGAUGGAAGAACACCAAAGGCUCUUCCAAGACACCUAAAGUAAAGAUAAUGGCCAAAUUACAAAACUAUUGAAAUCACACAAAAUUUUUUAAAAAAUAAUCUUCAAAGUUCUCUUCUCUUUUCUCACAAGUGUUUCUCUCCAAGCCUUUACUUGUUUGUCCUCCAAAGGUGAGUACCCCUUGCAAGUCCUUUGCCUUCUCUUAGGAUGCUACUUAGAAGUUAGCUCAAUUCUCACAAAGAACAAAUUCAAGGUAUAUUCCACUUCAAGAGGUCAAUAAUAAAAGCAAUAAAAGCUCAAUUUGAAGAGUGAAACUCAAAGGAGAUUAGAGAUGACAAACACAAAGAUUAUCCAUAAAAUCAAGACAAGCAAGAAAUUAAAGGUUUUCAAGAAAGUAAGCACUCAAAAGAAGCACCUAAAGAUUGGCACUAGAAUUGGAUUACAAAAAGAAAAACAAAGAAUGAUGAAAAUUCUUAGUAGACCAUGAAAUCCAAAAUGUUGCUGCCCAAUGUAGCUUGGUCCAAAGAACUCAAUUCUCACGGGUCCCGCGCUAAGGAACUCCAAUUGCCAAAUUUCUCACCAAAAUUUACGCUCCCUCAUUAUUCAACAAAUUCCAAUUUGCUUUCACUGAUUCUACUUUAAUUUCUUCAAUUAAUUGCACACCUUGGUAGUACUUGAUUCACCUGCACAUUCGCCACACCAUUUCUCAUCAAAUUCUUCAAAUUUACGGACCCCACAAUUCACUGCAUCAGCUUCAAUCAAUUUGUAAUUCACAAAUUGAAUUCAAAUGUAGACAUACUUUUUUUUUUAUUUAAUUAAAAUCUGCACCAAAAUGAUCAACAAUUUCAAGCAAUCAAAUCUGAAUCAGAACAGCUAGUAUGAAGACCUACGCUUCUCAAUUACAAUUUCAAAAUUCACCAACAGCUUCACUUUGCCAAUUUCACAAGCUAAACCGGAAAAUUCUGCAUCAAGACUUGCACCAGUNNNNNNNNNNNNNNNNNNNNNNNNNNNNNNNNNNNNNNNNNNNNNNNNNNNNNNNNNNNNNNNNNNNNNNNNNNNNNNNNNNNNNNNNNNNNNNNNNNNNAUUCUUGCUUCAACAAAAUUGAACCAAUUUAGUUUACGCACUUUGCUUUCUCUAUCUCACUUUUCUUGCAUUCAAUGAGGCAAUUUUAAUUAAAUCUCUAGAUCAAUACACCAACCAAUUAUGCACCGGAAUUUUACUCAAUUAAGCAUUGCAUCGUAAACACCAAUUAUGAACCAAAUGAUGCAAACAAUUCAAGUCAUCAUACUACAUCACAACAUCGUGAUCAAUUCAUCAAACAGUUUCAAUGCACAAAAUUAUACCACCAAAUUUUACUAAUCAAAAGAGAAACUGCACACCAAUUUCGAAACCAAUCACCGCUGCAUCACUACCAGAAACAUCAAGGGAAACACCAGAAUUUAUUAAAACAAAUUGAAUGAAUCUAAUUUUUUUUUUAAUUCAAUUAGGCAAAUAAACCUCCACUACACACAUGCAUACUCCAGCUGCUGCCAAAAUUUAAACCACAGAGGAAUUUAAGCAAACAACUUAUCUGCAGUUCUUGUUUACGUAGUUGCAAAACCAAAAUUCUCACUAAACAAUAUGAACUCUAGCUUCAAUUGAUUUUGGUUCUGCACUCCAAACUGCUCUGUUCAACGCAGAUGCCAAAUUUCACUCUAAUUCUAGAAAUCAUUUGAAUGAAACACGCACCGAUUCAAAAUGAACAAAUUGCAACCCACCGUUCACCUAUUCUCCGAUUAAUCUUCUCCAAAAUCGCUCCACAAUACGAAGAACAAUGAACGCAAAAGGUAGAACCAAAAAUCUUCGGAAUCGGAAGUGAAAGCGGAAGAAGAACUUACAUGAAUCAAUUCAUUCUUCACUGCUUUAAUUCUUCGAUUUUCAAUUCACCAGACCAACUCGAUCGUGAUUCAAACAGAUUUCUCCGGUCGUCUUCUCCGUUCACCGAUUUCACUGGAAAACGCCACUGUCGUUUGCGAUUCCUCCGUUCACAAUUCCUCCGCGCGCGAUUCCGAUUUAGGUCAUCGGAAAUCACAAACCUCCGUUUUGCACCGUUACUAUUCUUUGAUCAAUCUUCGCACACCGAUUCAAAAUGAAGCCGAAGAAGAAAAAUGAUGCAGAAGAUGAAGAACAACAAUGCAAAUCGCAGAGAAAAUUUUCAAGAAUAAAGUCCGAGAAACCUAAACCAGAUCUGCUAUUCGUAC
rnacentral:lncRNA from 1 species